CUGUGCGCACGGAAGGGCAGGGCGGAGUGCUGGGGCUGACCGCUCCGGCCUCAGGAGAGUGCCCGGGUGCCCACGCUGCCUGCUGGAGGGGCCGCUCCUAUGCCUGCCCACCACGGACUCUCACCCAGCAUGCAGGUGAGGCCUUGGCUGGCACAGGAAGCCCCACCGCACAGGCUCCUCCUCCCCCGCCGGCCCCAAGGGCUGCAAGGCGGACGCACACCCUCUCAUUUUGCUGGCAUCUGAAGCAUCCACUGACUCCACAGGAACAGGACACAGCGGCCCGCUCCCUCCCAGGGGAGCUUGGCAUCUGAGAGCCUGAGGACUGGCAAGGCUGAGGCAUACUUGGCAGCAGGGCUGGGCCCACAGGCCCCGAGUCCAGCCCUAAAGCCUCUUCGCCCUUCUCGUUAGCUGUUGGUGUUUCCUAAGACUUUUGAACUCUCCCUUCUUGAUGGAUGUUCUGUCCGUGGGGGUCAUCACCUCUCCUCCUAGAACUCGUUACCACCAUGAGCUAUCUGUCUCCGUUCCCGAGUUCCUGAAGCUCUAGACCCACAUUCCUAUACAUUACAGGACAGCCCCACCAGGAGGAUGCAUAAUAAGAAAACUAGCUCUGAAGAGGUGGCCAUGAUCACCCAGAAAGUAAGCAAUGAAGCCAGAAUGCUGUACACUACAUUGCUUGGCUCAAGGAUGCAGGCCCAUGGUGGAUAGUGCAUCGGCCUGCGGACUGAGGGAUCCCAGGUUCGAUUCCGGUCAAGGGCAUGUACCUUGGCUGCGGGCACAUCCCCAGUAGGAGGUGUGCAGGAGGCAGCGGAUGGAUGUUUCUCUCUCAUCGAUGUUUCUAACUCUCUAUCCCUCUC